UGGGGAAUAUUGGACAAUGGGCGCAAGCCUGAUCCAGCAAUGCCGCGUGUGUGAAGAAGGCCUUCGGGUUGUAAAGCACUUUUAUCAGGAGCGAAAUGCCAUGGGUUAAUACCUCGUGGAGCUGACGGUACCUGAGGAAUAAGCACCGGCUAACUUCGUGCCAGCAGCCGCGGUAAUACGAAGGGUGCAAGCGUUAAUCGGAAUUACUGGGCGUAAAGGGUGCGUAGGCGGUUCGUUAAGUCUGUUGUGAAAUCCCCGGGCUCAACCUGGGAAUGGCAAUGGAAACUGGCGAGCUAGAGUGUGUCAGAGGAUGGUGGAAUUCCCGGUGUAGCGGUGAAAUGCGUAGAGAUCGGGAGGAACAUCAGUGGCGAAGGCGGCCAUCUGGGACAACACUGACGCUGAAGCACGAAAGCGUGGGGAGCAAACAGGAUUAGAUACCCCGGUAGUCC
rnacentral:rRNA from 1 species